rnacentral:rRNA from 1 species
CAGCCGUAAACUAUGCGCGUUAGGUGUAUCGGUGACCACGAGUCACCGAGGUGCCGAAGGGAAACCGUGAAACGUGCCGCCUGGGAAGUACGGUCGCAAGGCUGAAACUUAAAGGAAUUGGCGGGGGAGCACAACAACGGGUGGAGCCUGCGGUUUAAUUGGACUCAACGCCGGACAACUCACCGGGGACGACAGCAAUAUGUAGGCCAGGCUGAAGACCUUGCCUGAAUCGCUGAGAGGAGGUGCAUGGCGUAGACGUCU